UCUCAUCUCAGAUGGUAAAGAAUCUGCCUGCAGUGCAGAAGACCUGGGUUCAAAACCUAGAUUGGGAA
rnacentral:tRNA from 1 species